UGCCGGUGUUGAGUGCAAUCCAGGAGUGCUUCUCGAAGAGGAGGUCCUGGUAGCCGUGGAUGAUGAGGUUGUGGCCGUCGUAGCGUGACAGGGGCAGCUCGAACGACAUGUCGGUGAAGAGCGCGUCGCUGUCCAUCCACCAGAUCCACUCGACCUCCGGGUGGGAGAGCAUGAGGCGGCGGAGCAGCGGCAAUUUGGCCCAGUAUCCGGCGAGCUCGUUGUCAAGGUGCGCGAGGUUGUGGACGAUCUCGAUGCCAUGGAGGCGGCAGUAAUCGAUCUUAUUCUUGGUAGUCUUGAGCAGGUAGUGGUCGCCGAGCGGGUUGUCGCAGGGCCCCGGCUGCGAGCCGGUUACGAGCAUAAUCCUGGGCUUGCCCCCGGCAAGGGUGGCCGGGAAGCCAGGGUUCUGGGCCAGCCACCGUCGGCGCUGCGCGUCCCAGUCGGAGAUCUUGGGCCCGAGCGCGUAUUUGCCGACCGCGGCCGCGUACGCGGCGGCGGCCUCGGUGGCGCUGAGCGCGGUGGCGUUGAAGCCAGAGGCGGCGCCGAAGUCGCCCUCGUCGUCGGGGUCGGGGCCGGAGUCGGAGCGGAUCUCGCGGAGGAUGCGGUCGAUGUCCUCGACGGCCUUGGCGUCCGCGAGCGCUUCGGCGUCGGAGGGCUGCGAGGGGAGGGAGAGGUUGAGGCCGAUGGUGCCCCGGAGGACGAGGAUGGUGACGAGGCCGCAGAGCACGGUAAUCUUGAGGUUGUUGAAAGUGCGGUGGAUCUUGCGCGACCGGCUGUGGUGGAGCGGCGACGCGCCCCGCGGCCGCGGCGCCGUCAUCGGCAGCCCUCCCCCGCCGCCGCCGCCUCCUCCUCCCCCCUUGCUGUUGUACCCCAUCCCCUCCUGGCCCAUCCCCGCCACAGAGGACGGAAUCCUCGGUUUUUUAUUGCCCACUCCUGGUUCCCCCCGCCCGGCGCCGCGGAUUGGGGUCUCGGACUGCUGACUGUGGGGGGCGGGGCGCGACUCGCGUCACAUGGGCGGGGAGAGCAGCACCGCGCGGCGCGCUGGAGCUGGAGUGCGACCUGCGUCGACGGCGAGUGGGGACGGGAAUUGAUAUGGGAUCGCAGGAUGCGAGGGUGUGACCGUGUGAGUGGUGUCGGGAAUAGGGGAAAGAGGAAGCGGGGUGUGUGUU
rnacentral:misc_RNA from 1 species